rnacentral:rRNA from 1 species
AGAGUUUGAUCCUGGCUCAGAACGAACGCUGGCGGCAGGCCUAACACAUGCAAGUCGAGCGAGACCUUCGGGUCUAGCGGCGGACGGGUUAGUAACGCGUGGGAACGUACCCUUUUCUGCAGGAUAGCCACUGGAAACGGUGAGUAAUACUGCAUACGCCCUUCGGGGGAAAGAUUUAUCGGAGAAGGAUCGGCCCGCGUUAGAUUAGAUAGUUGGUGGGGUAAUGGCCUACCAAGUCUACGAUCUAUAGCUGGUUUGAGAGGAUGAUCAGCAACACUGGGACUGAGACGCGGCCCAAACUCCUACGGGAGGCAGCAGUGGGGAAUCUUAGACAAUGGGCGCAAGCCUGAUCUAGCCAUGCCGCGUGAGUGAUGAAGGCCUUAGGGUCGUAAAGCUCUUUCGCCUGUGAAGAUAAUGACUGUAGCAGGUAAAGAAACCCCGGCUAACUCCGUGCCAGCAGCCGCGGUAAUACGGAGGGGGUUAGCGUUGUUCGGAAUUACUGGGCGUAAAGCGCGCGUAGGCGGACAUUUAAGUCAGAGGUGAAAUCCCAGGGCUCAACCCUGGAACUGCCUUUGAUACUGGGUGUCUUGAGUUCGAGAGAGGUGAGUGGAAUUCCGAGUGUAGAGGUGA